GCGGGCGUGGCGGAAUUGGUAGACGCAGGGGACUCAAAAUCCCCCGGCCGCAAGGCCUUGUCGGUUCGAGUCCGACCGCCCGCACCA
rnacentral:tRNA from 1 species